CUGGUCUGAGAGGAUGAUCAGCCACACUGGGACUGAGACACGGCCCAGACUCCUUCGGGAGGCAGCAGUGAGGAAUAUUGGACAAUGGGCGAAAGCCUGAUCCAGCAAUGUUACGUGAGUGAAGAAAGCUAUUUUGGUUGUAAAGCUCUUUCAAUGAGGAGGAUAAUGACGUUACUCAUAAAAGAAGUCCCGGCUAACUCCGUGCCAGCAGCCGCGGUAAUACGGGGGGGACAAGUGUUAUUCGAAAUGACUGGGCGUAAAGGGUCCGUAGGUGGUUAAUUAAGUUGAUAAGUAAAGAUUAGAGCUUAACUUUAAGACACUUUUCAAAACUGAUUAACUAGAGUUUGGGAGAGGAUAGUAGAAUUUUCAGAGUAGGGCUAAAAUCCAAAGAUACUGAAAGGAAUAUCAGGAGCGAAGGCGACUAUCUGGAACAAUACUGACACUGAGGGACGAAAGCAUGGGUAGCAAACAGGAUUAGAUACCCUGGUAGUCCAUAGCUGUAAACGAUGAGUGCUCGUGUUUAGGAACUUUCCUAGGCACUUAGCUAACGCGUUAAGCACUCCGCCUGGGGAGUACGGCCGCAAGGUUGAAACUCAAAGGAAUUGACGGGGGCUCACACAAGCGGUGGAGCAUGUGGUUUAAUUCGAUAAUACGCGCGAAACCUUACCAGUUCUUGACAUAUAAGUUGUCUACAUUGAAAAAUAUAGGCUUAAGCUUAUACAGGUGUUGCAUGGCUGUCGUCAGCUCGUGUUGUGAAAUGUUUGGUUAAGUCCUUUAACGAGCGCAACCCCUAUUAAUAUUUGCAAAUACUAAUCAUUAUGUGAUUAGAUAUGUACUUUAUUAAGACUGCCAAUGAUAAGUUGGAGGAAGGUAGGGAUGACGUCAAGUCCUCAUGGCCCUUAUGAACUGGGCUACACACGUGCUACAAUGGUAAUUACAAUAGGAGGCAAUAGUGCAAACUGGAGCGAAACCUUAAAGAUUAUCUCAGUUCGGAUUGUAGGCUGAAACUCGCCUACAUGAAGUCGGAAUCGCUAGUAAUCGUAAAUUAGAACGUUACGGUGAAUAUGUACCUGAGCCUUGUACACACCGCCCGUCACAUCACGGAAGUUAAAUUCACUUGAAAUAACCCAAUUAACCUUUUUAUUCAUUAUUACAAGAUAAUAACAUU
rnacentral:rRNA from 1 species